UAGCGCCCGUUGAGCUGAGCCGGCCACCGUAGAACACCACAAGACCCGCAAAGAGAAUCGGCGGUCAGGCCAUGCAUUUGGGAGAUGGUUUAAAGUUGGAAACUGAACUGCUGGAUGGAAAAACCAAGUUAAUAUUAUCUCUAUAUGAUGGGAAAUAAGAGCAAGAUUACAAAAUGUCCUUUAAGAACAAAGCACACUGGACACCUUCUAAAGUCAACACAAAAUUCUUAUAUUUGGAGUGAAAAACUUGCAAAAGAUGACAGUUGGUUCAGAAACGUCACAGUCAAAAAGUGAAAAGAAUAGAAUGACAGUUACACCCACUAAGGAUUUAUAUAAGCAGUAUGAAGAUAAAGACUGUCUUCAUAUCCAAACAGAAGUAUCAUCUUUAACCCCUAAAGAAGACUGGAAACACCAUAAAUCCAUCUUUAGUAAUUAAAGAGAAGCCUCAUAAAAAACACGACAGAACUGAAAACAUGAGUAGCAGUUUGGUGUGUCUAACACAAGACCAACUACAACAGAUUUUGAUGAGUAGCAUAAACCAAGGAAAUGGAUCUGUUUCUCUGACUAACAGUGAAAAUGAUGAGAAAACAAGUAAGAUUUUUCUGUUUUGUUGAAUAUUUUUUCAGUAUGUACUUUAGAUUUUCUGAUUGAUUGGCUUUUAUAUAACUGCCUCUUCAAUUUCAAUUUAACAUCUUUAAAAAUUAAUUAUCAAAAGUAAAAUAAAAAUGAUCUGUUAUCUGAAAUUUCUUUUGUAGUUAUGCCAUAGUUUAGAUUAGUGCUCAAAGUAUCCUUAAGAAAACUAGUUUCUGUGUACUCCAUUAAAUAUGUUAAUACUAGCAGGGUGCUAGUGAUUCACCCCUUUAAUCCUAGGUAUUCAAGAAGCUGAAAUCUGAGGAUCAUGGUUUGAAGCCAGCUGG